rnacentral:rRNA from 1 species
CGUCUAUAUACGUAUAGCAUAUCAAUAAGCGGAGGAAAAGAAACUAACAAGGAUUCCCUUAGUAACGGCGAGUGAGGCGGGAAGAGCUCAAAUUUGAAAUCUUCAAGGUUCUACCUUGACGAAUUGUAGUUUAUAGAAGUGUUUUCUGUUAGUGGAGUGGCAAAAGUUCUUUGGAAUAGGACAUCAUAGAGGGUGAGAAUCCCGUAUUUGGUCAUUCCUCCUAGCGUUGUGAUACACUUUCAACGAGUCGGAUUGUUUGGGAAUGCAGUCCAAAAUGGGUGGUAAAUUUCAUCUAAAGCUAAAUAUUGGCGAGAGACCGAUAGCGAACAAGUACCGUGAGGGAAAGAUGAAAAGAACUUUGAAAAGAGAGUUAAACAGUACGUGAAAUUGUCAAAAGGGAAGCGUUUGACACCAGUGUUGUUUUCUCGAAAAUCAAUUAAAAAAGGCUGGAUUUUGUGUUGUAUUGACUUUAUCAGCUUUCUGCACUCUUUUCCUGUCUUUUUUAAUGCACUUUUCGUUUAACAAGUCAACAUCAAUUUCUUUUGUUGUAAAAGGGUCAUUGGAAGGUGGCUUUCUUUUCGGAGAAAGUGUUUAUAGCCUUAUGACUUCUACAAUCGGAGAGAUUGAGGUCUGCAGCGUAGAUCCUUCGGGGUUAGAUACACUUGUGCUAAGUUGUAGCUUUUCAUAGACAACUUGUUGACUAUGUUUAGUCAUGCGGCUUACUCGCUUAUGCUAUUUUACCUACGCUUAGGAUGUUGACUGAUAUGUAGUCGU